rnacentral:rRNA from 1 species
AACGUGAUUCAGAGUUUGAUCCUGGCUCAGGAUAAACGCUGGCGGCGCACAUAAGACAUGCAAGUCGAACGGAAGUCGUUGUAAUGAUUUUGAAGCGAACAGAGAACUUGUUCAACGGGAGUGGAAAUUGACUUACAACAAUGGCUUUAGUGGCGGACUGGUGAGUAACACGUAAGCAACCUGCCUAUCAGAGGGGAACAACAGUUAGAAAUGACUGCUAAUACCGCAUAUGCCUUAGUAACGCAUGUUACAAAGGGAAAGGAGCAAUCCGCUGAUAGAUGGGCUUGCGUCUGAUUAGAUUGUUGGUGGGGUAACGGCCUACCAAGUCGACGAUCAGUAGCCGGACUGAGAGGUUGAACGGCCACAUUGGGACUGAGAUACGGCCCAG